rnacentral:rRNA from 1 species
UACAGAGGUGGCAAGCGUUGUUCGGAAUUACUGGGCGUAAAGGGCGCGUAGGCGGCCGCCUAAGUCAGACGUGAAAUCCCCAAGCUUAACUUGGGAACUGCGUCUGAUACUGGGUGGCUUGAGUUCGGGAGAGGAAUGUGGAAUUCCAGGUGUAGCGGUGAAAUGCGUAGAUAUCAGGAGGAACACCAAUAGCGAAGGCAGCUCGCUGGGACGGUACUGACGCUGAGGCGCGAAAGCGUGGGGAGCAAACAGG